GUAGUGUAGUGCAGCGCAGCACGUGUGCUCGUUUCUGUGUGUGUGAGAGAGAGAGAGAGACAGAUUACCCUGUACUUUUAAUUCCCCGUCAUAAUCCAUGGAUCUAUUAACCAUGGGCCUACAGUAUUAACCUCUGGUGGGUUUGGUGUGGUAAUCCACAGUUUGUGUUGAUUCAACCAGUGUUUGCCUAGUGGGUAGUUUGUGUUGGGAUGGUCACAGGUAGAUCUGUAACAAUCGCAGAUAGAGAGACAGAGCUGGAAAAGGAAUCAGCCAUGACUAACCAGUGACCAGCCAGUCCUGGAGCCUUACAUGCUGACCAGAGCGAACAUGUUGUGUGCGCAAGGGUUGCAAAAUAAAUGUACAUAUACACAUUAUUCAGUCAUUGCACUCACACUGCUCGUGGGCAUCAGCGAGCGACUGCAUGGCCAGGCGCUAAAAUAGAAAUCGGUUCUAUUUGGGACGCUCAACAUGCUGCCAGUCCGGCCUCUCCCAUCUCCUCAUAGGUUUUUAAGAGCAUAUACCCACGUGCCAUCUCCUCAUAGGUUUUUAGAAGCAUAUACCCACGUGCCAUCUCCUCAUAGGUUUUUAAGAGCAUAUACCCACGUGCCAUCUCCUCAUAGGUUUUUAGAAGCAUAUACCCACGUGCCAUCUCCUCAUAGGUUUUUAGAAGCAUAUACCCACGUGCCAUCUCCUCAUAGGUUUUUAAGAGCAUAUACCCACAUGGGUGAUUGAAAGAUUAAUUUAGGUCCACACUCCGGUAGGUUGUAGUAAUGCUGUAAAGUUGGUUGCCAACUGCCAUAUUAAGUCAAAAAUAACAAGAAGAAGCCUGAGGAAGGAGGAGAGAUGACAAGAAAGGAAUUCGGUUUACAGUUUUAUCUGUGGAUUAAUUGUGGGUGUAGAGGACCUUGUGCAUUUCAGGUCAAAUAAGAACCCAAUGUUUGUAUCCCAGGACAAAUUAGCUGGCAACAGCAAGCUAGCUAGCUAAAUUGUCAUAAAUGUUUAAUGAUUUUCG
rnacentral:lncRNA from 1 species